CAUCUGAGGGUCAAACAUUCUGUUCAUAAAGUGUUUAUUUGGGAAUGGAAAAUAUAAUUUCCUGGAGUUUAUUCUUUAUAGUUUGUUUUCAUGGAGUCUGGAGUGAGAUCAGACUGGACCAGUCUCCAUCUGAGGUGAAAAGACCUGGAGAGACAGUGAAGAUGUCUUGUAUCAUAUCUGGAUUUGACAUGACAAGCUACUAUAUUCACUGGAUACGACAGAGACCAGGACAAGCUCUGGAGUGGAUCGGGAGGAUGGAUGCAGGAAAAAACUCUGCCAGCUAUGCCAGCGCCUUCCAGAAUCGUUUCCCGAUGACUGAAGAUGUGUCCAGCAGCACUCAGUACCUCCAGAUCAAGAGUCUGACAGCAGAAGAUUCUGCUGUUUAUUAUUGUGCUCGAAGAGACACAGUGAGUGAAGUCAGUGAAGCAGCUGCACAAAAACCUCCACAGAUGUCAGACAGCAGAGAGACAUCUGAGACAUCGUGGCUGAACUCAAUAAUACUGGAGAUUAUUUAUAAUAUUAUAAAUGCUGCAAAGCCUGUUAUGCUGAAACUGACAGCCCAGGCUGAUCGGGCACAGCUGCUAAAGGAGCGCAGCUGUGCCCGAUCAGCGAUCAGUGGCAGUUAA